GUCUAGCUGAUCAGUACCAAACGGGACGAAACGCGCGUCCUGGAC
rnacentral:hammerhead_ribozyme from 1 species